UGAGGAAUAUUGGGCAAUGGAGGGAACUCUGACCCAGCCAUGCCGCGUGAGUGAAGAAGGUUUUCGAAUUGUAAAGCUCUUUCGGAUGUGAAGAUGAUGACGGUAGCAUCUAAAGAAGCCCGGCAACUUCGUGCCAGCAGCCGCGGUAAUACGAAGGGCAGCGUGUUCGAUACUGGCGUAAAGGGUGUGUAGGUGGACGUGUAAGAUAGCGGUGAAAUACCGGGGCUCAACCUCGGAAUUGCCAUUAUAACUAUGCGUCUAGAAUUAUAGAGAGGAUAGCGGAAUACCCAGUGUAGAGGUGAAAUUCGUAGAUAUUGGGUAGAACACCAGUGGCGAAGGCGGCUAUCUGGCUAUAUAUUGACACUGAGGCACGAAAGCAUGGGGAUCAAACAGGAUUAGAUACC
rnacentral:rRNA from 1 species